GGCUGUGUGGGUAUCACACUAGGCUUGCACACUAGAGGUCUCGGGUUCGAUUCCCGGUGCGGUUG
rfam:Asian citrus Psyllid, Diaphorina citri - Florida Strain, whole genome shotgun sequence.